GACGAACGCUGGCGGCGUGCUUAACACAUGCAAGUCGAACGGAAAGGCCCUGCUUUUGUUGGGUGCUCGAGUGGCGAACUGGUGAGUAACACGUGAGUAACCUGCCCUUGACUUUGGGAUAACUUCAGGAAACUGGGGCUAAUACCGGAUAGUAGCUCCUGCUGCAUGGUGGGGGUUGGAAAGUUUCGGCGGUUGGGGAUGGACUCGCGGCUUAUCAGCUUGUUGGUGGGGUAGUGGCUUACCAAGGCUUUGACGGGUAGCCGGCCUGAGAGGGUGACCGGCCACAUUGGGACUGAGAUACGGCCCAGACUCCUACGGGAGGCAGCAGUGGGGAAUAUUGCACAAUGGGCGGAAGCCUGAUGCAGCAACGCCGCGUGCGGGAUGACGGCCUUCGGGUUGUAAACCGCUUUCGCCUGUGACGAAGCGUGAGUGACGGUAAUGGGUAAAGAAGCACCGGCUAACUACGUG
rnacentral:rRNA from 1 species